AUACGUAUGUCGCAAGCGUUAUCCGGAUUUAUUGGGCGUAAAGCGCGUCUAGGCGGCUUAGUAAGUCUGAUGUGAAAAUGCGGGGCUCAACCCCGUAUUGCGUUGGAAACUGCUAAACUAGAGUACUGGAGAGGUAGGCGGAACUACAAGUGUAGAGGGGAAAUUCGUAGAUAUUUGUAGGAAUGCCGAUGGGGAAGCCAGCCUACUGGACAGAUACUGACGCUAAAGCGCGAAAGCGUGGGUAGCAAACAGGAUUAGAUACCCUGGUAGUCCACGCCGUAAACGAUGAUUACUAGGUGUUGGGGGUCGAACCUCAGCGCCCAAGCUAACGCGAUAAGUAAUCCGCCUGGGGAGUACGUACGCAAGUAUGAAACUCAAAGGAAUCGACGGGG
rnacentral:rRNA from 1 species